UAGAGCUGGAGGAUGUCUGAUAGA
rnacentral:piRNA from 1 species